rnacentral:rRNA from 1 species
GAGUUUGAUCCUGGCUCAGAACGAACGCUGGCGGCGUGGAUUAGGCAUGCAAGUCGUACGCGAAAGAGGGGGUAACUCCUCGAGUAGAGUGGCGAACGGGUGAGUAACGCGUGAGAAACCUGCCUUCAACUGGGGGAUAACACUCCUAACGGGGUGCUAAUACCGCAUGAGACCACGGAGUCGCAUGGCUCUGAGGUCAAAGGUGGCCUCUAUUUAUAAGCUACCGGUUGAAGAUGGUCUCGCGUCCCAUUAGCUAGUUGGCGGUGUAAAAGACCACCAAGGCAACGAUGGGUAGCUGGUCUGAGAGGAUGGUCAGCCACACUGGGACUGAGAUACGGCCCAGACUCCUACGGGAGGCAGCAGUCGAGAGGCUUCGGCAAUGGGGGAACCCCUGACCGAGCGACGCCGCGUGAGGGAUGAAGGCCCUUGGGUUGUAAACCUCUUUUGUUCGGGAAGAAGUGCGAUCAGGUUAAUAAUCUGGUCGUUUGACGGUACCGGACGAAUAAGCUCCGGCUAACUCCGUGCCAGCAGCCGCGGUAACACGGGGGGAGCAAGCGUUGUUCGGAAUCACUGGGCGUAAAGGGCGUGUAGGCGGUCAGGUAAGUGGGAUGUGAAAUGCCCCGGCUCACCCGGGGACCGGCAUCCCAAACUGCCUGGCUUGAGUAUGGGAGAGGAUGAGGGAAUUCCUGGU